AUGCCGGUAAUCGUCCUAGAGUAUUGAACCCGCAAGAUAAGCAGGUGGGUUCCUCGAUCGCAGUAUUGAACUACCAAAAGAAAAGGCAUGUUACCAACUUUGAUACAAGCAGGAUCCCUAGAUAUCAAUAAAAAUGUUCGGUCAACACAGUGAAAGGACAACGCGUACAUCACAGAUUUACCAUCUUUAUAAUAGCAUACUCUCUCAAAAUCGGCAACGAGAUUGUUUCUUUUUUUGAAAGCGUAUUAUUUU
rnacentral:misc_RNA from 1 species